GUCAUGCAAGGCACGAAGCUCAUGGCAUGCUGUAAAUACCUGACUGAUCUUACAGUGAGGAGAAUAUAGGAUGGAAUGGAUAUAAGAGCAAUCCCAUUAAAGACUACCUGUGGCUAUUAGUCACCUUCCAAACAAAAGAUGCUGAGUUCUCUAAAUUGCUUUAUGUGAGAUGUAACACAAAACCACAUGUUCACCACUACAGGAAUAGUGUGGAAAACCAGGUGGUAAUAAGGGUCUGCCAACCAAGACAAGGAACUCCAGAAAACUAUUAUUGAUGAUCACAGCAAAACCUCUGCAGAAAUUUCACAUCUGCUGAAGCCCAUGGCAUUUGCCUAGUACUGCCAAAGGAAAAAAUAAUGUCUUCUGGUCUCCAUUCCACCUUCAAAAUCAUGCUCCAGUGCACCUUGUUGUUAGAACAUAAAUUGUAUUCUAUUCCACAGAGUCAAGAGAAUCUAGAGAAUUUGAUUUCUAAAUUCCCAGCUCCUUCAAAACAGAAGAAACCUUAGAAGGGUUUUGCUGCUUGCAAAAUGAAAUUAAACCUGCACACUUAUUUCUGUUCUCUUAAUAAAGACUUUGAAGAGAUUAAUUCAUGAUACCUGCAAUGUUUCUCAGAUUUCCUUGGACAAUCUCAAAUCAUUCAUACCUGUGCCUCUCCCUCACUUUUCAGUUGCCCUGCUCCCAAACACCUUCAC
rnacentral:lncRNA from 10 species